CGUUUUCGAAAGUUUUUGAAAAUAAAUCUACAUUUUUUAUAACAUUUUGGUUUCAAAAUAUGAAAUACCCUUUUAUAUUUCAAAUCUGAAAUAAUUCCUUUGAAAAAUGAAAAAGUUAUUAGCAUUUUUAUUUGGUCCUGUCAUUCUCGAUGUUGGUCCUGUCAUUAUCAGAGUUGGUCAUGUCACGUUUUCUAAAGUUUCUUACAAAACGUUUUUAUUUUUUUUCUUAAAUCUAUUUAUCAAAUGAUGAAAUCUUAUUAUAUUUAAAAUUUGAGAUCAAUCCUUUGAGAAAUGAAAAAGUUAUUAGCAUUUUUCAUUUGGUCCUGUCAUUCGGUCCUGUCAUUCGGUCCAGUCAUUAGUGUAACCCAUAUAUAUGGGUUACACUAAAGACCCGAAAGUGGACCUGAAAAGACCUGAAAAGACCUGAAAAGACCUGAAAAUAUACGACUAAAAUUAUUCAAAUUGCAAUAACUUUUUUAUUAUUGAAUGGAAUUUCUUCAAGUUGGAAUUUUAUUUAUUGUAAAUAUUUAUAUUUCAUUAAAAUUUAAAAAAAAUAAAUAAAAAACAAGUUUUUGAUGCCAAAAGUUGGACCUGAACGGAGAAAUGAAAAGACCUGAAGGGACCUGAAAAUCUAUGUCGGACUAGUUCUAACUACAAUAACUUUUUUAAUAUUCAAUGGAUAUCUUUCAACUUUUGAUUUUGUGACACAAAAAGUUCAAUAUAAUGAUAAAAUUAAAAAAAAAAAUAUGAAAAAUACCAUUUGGGUGUGAAAACUCGGAACUGAACGGA
rnacentral:lncRNA from 1 species